rnacentral:misc_RNA from 1 species
AAGUCGUAACAAGGUUUCCGUAGGUGAACCUGCGGAAGGAUCAUUAAAAAAAAUUGAAGCUUCAACCCUUUCAAGGGUAGAAGCGUCAGUGCUCCUCUAACAAGGAGCUUGACUACUCCAAUUUUGUGAACUUGUAACCAAAAAAUGUUUUGAUAGUGGUGAAAGAUUUGGGCAUUACCAGCCCAAGUUUUUCCCUUCUUGAAAAAAUUGUUAACCCUGAAGAAAUAACUUGUCUUUACCGUUUUUUAUAAAUAAAAAUUAAUAAACAACUUUUGACAACGGAUCUCUAGGCUCUC